rnacentral:lncRNA from 1 species
GAAAUUUCUAGGGAAAGGGUGGUAACUUCUGGAUUGUCAGGUUGUUGCCAUGGAAAGAGACAGUAACGUCCAAGUGUUGCCAUGGCAAUGGUAAACUGACAUGGCACCCUGGUGGGUGUGUCCAUGGAAAGCUGCUUUAGCCUUGGCCCUGUGUAAGCUAGUCCUCCAUUUGGUCCCUUGUGAAAUCUCCACCUCCAGAGUUGAGUCUGGCCUUUUACCUCAAAUGUACACAAAUGAUGAUGACCUUACAUUAUUAAAAACAGUAGCAACAACAAAAAAACAAACAAAAACCAAACAAAAGCGAAACUCAUUAACAACCAGAGCCUGUCAAACAGUAGGUGAUAAAGAAUAUAACUGAAAAGCUACCAACGAAAUGAAGAUUAUGAGAAAGUUGAAAUUACCUUGAACCUACUCUCAUAUAUUCUUGGUGUUUGGGACUGCUACAAAAUGUAAGGAAGCAUCAUAAAUCUAGAAGAAGGUUCAACUUAACGACAGAAGCCUGAAUGUGCCAGUAGUUCCUCCCUUUAAGAGAUGGAGUCUGUUUCUCUGCCUUAAGUUGACCUUUGGACUUAUUUUGGUCAAUAGAAUGCAGUGAAAGUAACCAUGUGCUGAAUCUAAGGCGGACGUCAGUGGCUGUGUGGGUUUCCAUGCUCUCUCAGAACUCCAUCACUGUCCUGUGAACAAAUCCAGGCUAGCCUGCAGGAGUGAGACACCAUAUGAAGAGAUCCCAGUUAUCACAGCUGAGGCCAUCCUAGACUUGUUUGCAGCCAGUUGAUUCUGGAGAACGUGAGAAGGACCAGCCAAGGUCAUCAGAGCCACGUUUGCCACACCCACAGCUAACUGAAGCUAUGUGCCUGGGCCCAGCUGUGACCAGAACUGCUCAGCUAACCUGGAGACUCAUAAGCAAUAAAGGAUACUUUUGGGUCUAUAAUCCACUGAAAUUUGGUUGGCUUGUUACACAGCAAUAGCUAACUGAUACAGGACAGCAGUGGUAGAUUUAGA